AGUAACCUGCCCCUGACUCUGGGAUAAGCCCGGGAAACUGGGUCUAAUACCGGAUACGACCACUCCAGGCAUCUGAUGGUGGUGGAAAGAUUUUUCGGUUGGGGAUGGGCUCGCGGACUAUCAGCUUGUUGGUGGGGUAGUGGCCUACCAAGGCGACGACGGGUAGCCGGCCUGAGAGGGCGACCGGCCACACUGGGACUGAGACACGGCCCAGACUCCUACGGGAGGCAGCAGUGGGGAAUAUUGCGCAAUGGGCGGAAGCCUGACGCAGCGACGCCGCGUGGGGGAUGACGGCCUUCGGGUUGUAAACCUCUUUCAGCAGGGACGAAGUUGACGUGUACCUGCAGAAGAAGCGCCGGCUAACUACGUGCCAGCAGCCGCGGUAAUACGUAGGGCGCAAGCGUUGUCCGGAAUUAUUGGGCGUAAAGAGCUCGUAGGUGGCUGGUCGCGUCUGCCGUGAAAGCCCGCAGCUUAACUGCGGGUCUGCGGUGGAUACGGGCCGGCUAGAGGUAGGCAGGGGCAAGUGGAAUUCCUGGUGUAGCGGUGAAAUGCGCAGAUAUCAGGAGGAACACCGGUGGCGAAGGCGGCUUGCUGGGCCUUACCUGACGCUGAGGAGCGAAAGCGUGGGGAGCGAACAGGAUUAGAUACCCUGGUAGUCCACGCCGUAAACGUUGGGCGCUAGGGUGUGGGACCCUUCCACGGGUUCCGUGCCGGAGCUAACGCAUUAAGCGCCCGCC
rnacentral:rRNA from 1 species